rnacentral:lncRNA from 1 species
CCAAAUUAAACCCUAAUCAGAAUUUUUGCCACUUUUACAGAAAAUAAAACCAAAAAAAUAAAAAAUAAAACCCUAGGUUUUUUUCUCUCCACUGCUUUGGAAAUUCAGGUCGUUUUGAGGCUUCCCGAACCUCCCAAGGGCUCCGAUUGUGACGGAGCAGGCAGAGAUUCAACACUUCAGGUAAUUUCUAUUUUCUAAUUGACUUUUUUUACACACAACGAAUAGACAAUAAUAAUAAAAAGAAACAAAGAAAUCGAAAGAGAAAAGGAAAUCACUUUAAAAACUCACUGCUAUAAUUUUUUAUUGAUUUUUUUAAUCGAUUUUCAUAUCCCCUUUUACAAAUCCAUGUUUGGCUUUUAUAUAGCCAAAAAGAAAAAUCAAAAUCCCUCUUUUUCUAUUUUUUUAUUUUUUUAUGUUUUUUAUCUCCCCUUACAAUUUUUCGCUGUAAAUAUGUUAUUUUCUUUGUUGUAAGUCUGUUUCUUCUUUUUGCUACUUUGGUUUAUCGUUUGUUGCAGGGAGAACGUGCAUAGUGCGAAGGCGACGUGCUGCGACAUGCGCGGAGGCAUGCGAGGGAGCUUUGCUGACGUGUGGCGCUCCCUAAGGUUUCUGCCUCCUUUGUUGCUGAAAACAUGUUGUGGGCAUAUUGGGCUAGGGUUUUUUGUAAUUUGGGUUGUUUGGAUUUGUAAUUAGGGCUGGACACUUAUAGUUUUAAUUUAUUUUAAUUUGGUGUUGGGCUAGGGCUUAAAAUUGGGUAUUACAGUAUUAAUUUUAAAAUAUUGAACUAAUUAUCACUAUAGCUUUUGGUUUAGGGUAUAUGGUUUAGAGUUUAAAGUUUAGGAGUUAUUAUUUUAAGGUUUAUGGAUUAUGGGUUUAAGGGUGGUUUAAAGGUUGGGGUUUAAGGUUUAGAGGUUUUAUAUAUUAAUUAAUUUCUUAUAUAAUUGUAAAAGAGACAAUAUUAAUUUGGUUCUUCAAAAUCGUGUGAAGAUUUGGUUCUUCAAAAUCGUUUCGGUGUAUUUAAAACUGUUAAAGCUGCAUUAUAUUUGUUGAGGGAAUAAGAAAAUAAUAAUACUGAGUUUUUA